AACGCACAUUGCGCCCCUCGGUAUUCCGUGGGGCAUGCCUGUUCGAGCGUUAUUUACACCCUCAAGCUCUGCUUGGUGUUGGGCGCCUGUCCCGCUCCCGCAGCGCGGACUCGCCCUAAAGUCAUUGGCGGCGGCCGUGCCGGCCCCUCGCGCAGCACAAAUGCGCUUCUCGGAGGCCCGGCGGAUCAGCGCUCCAGCAAGACACCUUCAUGACUUGACCUCGGAUCAGGUAGGGAUACCCGCUGAACUUAA
rnacentral:misc_RNA from 1 species